GCACAACCUGUAGGUCAACUAACAAACGUUUCUAUAGCAUAGUUCCUAUAGUUUAGUGACAUGAGCAAAUAUGCAUUGUUAUCAACAAUGACGCACUCUGGACCAAAAUGUACUACAUUUGCAUAUAACCUAUAGAAUCUCUCUCUCUAUCUGUCCAUCUCUCUGUCUAUCAACAUAAAGCCUUGCUUCCUACUACAGGGAAGUCAAAGUUGGUGGUAUUAGAAGGAUACACACACAGUAUCUGGUUCAGCUGAAAGGAGCUUUUCAUUCUCCUCAACACCAGCACAAAUACAUUCCUGCAAUAAGUCGAUGCUCUGUUAGAAGAAGGAAAUUCAAAUCACCUCAGUCAUUGCCAAGAUCUUGAAGAAUACAUCUUUACACAAGAUUUUUAACUUACCUCACUCAUCUCACUCCAGAAUCUCAAAGGACCAGUCUUUCUACUGCUGAAGAGAUCUGAGAUUGUCAGGAAUAUGAUGAGAACCCUGUAUGACUUGUCUGAUCUGAGACAGACCGGAUUUGGUCAGCCGCAUCCCAGACACGGUCUGAACUUGUUGUGGUGGUUUGCUCAUGAUUGUGUUCGGAUUGACUCUAACAGUCAUAUGAUUGCACAGUACAACCCUGAAAAUGGAGCGUUUGGUUUCCACCGAUUCUAUAAUAUCGAUAAUCUUCUUCCUAAAUUUAAUCUACCAUACUAUGAAGUCGGCAACCUGCACAAUGCUGUCUUACUGCCUGGUUAUGUCACUGAGAAUUACACUGGAUAUUCAGACAGCAGCAACAAAGAUCGCAUCAUUGUUUCCUUUGACUCAAGAUGGAAAAGAUUUGAGGAGAUUUAUGUGACACAGCACUCAGAUCAGGCAAACUUUGACCAGAAUCACACCUACUGUAUUAGCACUGAACUCAUCAAAGAAUUUCAAGACUUGAACCGUGAAGAUUUCCUCAGAGGAUGCACGAAUCGUUCUGAACAUACAUUUAUAGAUAUACCUCAGCCAGGGCAGAGUCAGUCCACUUGUAAAAAAUGCUGCUCUCUGUUCUCUUGUGUAUUGAUUGCUGUGAUUGUUAUUGCAGCUAUUGUCUGGUUUUUUAAACAUUGAAAAUAUAGUUUUCAUCCACUGUUGUUUGUUAUUCUAGCUAAUUACACAGCUGUCAUUAGGUGCUUGUCUCUUUUGGAUGAGCUGUUUAUUGAUUUGAAUACAAUGAAUUACAUGUUUUUACAUGUUAAUUAUAUGAAACAAGACUGUAUGUUUAUUACUGCAUACUUUUUAAUCUUUAAAGUAAAACUAAGGAAAAAUAUUACUAUUAAUAGUUAUUUGAAUAUUGGGCGACACAUCCCAAUCAAUGUCUUCAGUGGUUAUGCCCGGAUUUAUAGUCAUUUAGUUUCUUUAUUCAUAUUAGUUGUGCUUAUUGUUUGACAUAUACUGUAUUAUAUAUUGUUUGACUGUAUUACCUUGAAAUAAAAGUCCAAAAACCA